AGUGAACGCUGGCGGUAGGCCUAACACAUGCAAGUCGAACGGCAGCACAGUAAGAGCUUGCUCUUACGGGUGGCGAGUGGCGGACGGGUGAGGAAUACAUCGGAAUCUACUUUUUCGUGGGGGAUAACGUAGGGAAACUUACGCUAAUACCGCAUACGACCUACGGGUGAAAGCAGGGGAUCUUCGGACCUUGCUCGAUUGAAUGAGCCGAUGUCGGAUUAGCUAGUUGGCGGGGUAAAGGCCCACCAAGGCGACGAUCCGUAGCUGGUCUGAGAAGAUGAUCAGCCACAAUGGAACUGAGACACGGUCCAGACUCCUACGGGAGGCAGAAGUGGGGAAUAGUGGACAAUGGGCGCAAGCAUGAUCCAGCCAGACCGCGUGGGUGAAGAAGGCCUUCGGGUUGUAAAGCCCUUUUGUUGGGAAAGAAAAGCAGCAGGUUAAUAACCCGCUGUUCUGACGGUACCCAAAGAAUAAGCACCGGCUAACUUCGUG
rnacentral:rRNA from 1 species